AUAUCAGCCCACCGCCGCAGCUCAAUGUGGAGAACAGUAUCUCCUAUUUUAUUCCAACUAGACCAUUCAUCCUCGUCAGUGUAAAGAACAACAUCCUUUGGAAGUGAGGCCCUAUCAAUGAAAUGUAAAGAAGCCCUUGUGCCAACAGCUUUUACCUCUGCCCAUUCAGAAAAACAAUGGCAGAGAUUUCCAAAUUUUAUAGCAGCUACACUUCCACUGGCAGCAAGUAGAAUCCUGGGUUUCCUAUGAGCAGCAUUUUCCUGGACUGACUCCCUUUCUGUUCCUGCUGGUUCUGAGUAUGCCAUAAUC
rnacentral:misc_RNA from 1 species